CUGCUGCGAUGUGGAGCGCCUGGUACUGUACUCGGUUUCAAAGGUCUGCUCUCGGGCUGGGGGUGGGCAAGAGGAUGGGCUAAGGAACGACACGCGGGCUGGUUUUGCCCUAACUCAAGGAGAAAAAAAACAUUAGCUGCUGAAUGCCCCUUGUCUUUCAAGCCUUAGAGCACGUUUAUUUAAAAAAAAUCGACAGUUGCCAGAAGCAUGCUGCCUCUAGUGCCCAGGAAAUGGGGAUUCUUAAGCUUUGUUGCUUACACUGUGGGGUGGGAAUGAGUUGUGACCUCUAGGAAAGAAGGCCGGGAAGGGUCUUCACAUUGUUUUUGCAUUCCCGCAAGGCCGGGACAGUUGCCGCGCCACACCCCCAUCCCCGCCCCACGCUGCAUAUGGGUUACCGUAUGUGAAAUGUACGGCAGCCCCACCAGACACCGGGCUAUUAAUAGAGCCCCGGAGUUUGCUCUGUGUCUUUUUCCUGCCACCGAAUAAGGGAUGAUCACACACACCCCACUCCGCCCCCACCUCGGCGCUCAGUUCCUCCGGGAAGCUUGCAAGUGGCUGAGCUGGGAUUCAACUCCAGGCCUGUCUUCUACAAAGCAACCUUCCCCAGACUGAAGAGCUGCUGCUUUGCAGUUUCUGCAGUCACACUGGCCACACUUGGGUCCUCAAGAAUGAGAAGGAGGC